rnacentral:lncRNA from 1 species
UGGUCCUUCGAGCCUGAUAUGUUUCUCCCGCAGGGCGUCGCAUCGUGACGUCGUCGCGGCGCCGCGGGCUCUGCCUGCGCAAACUGGCUGCGCGCCUGCGCUCGCCCGCGCCCGCCUGCGCGCCCGCCGCCGCGCUCGCCUGCGCGCACUGCCGCGUGCCCGCGCACCAGUGCCUGUGCAGGGACGACACUCGCCCGGCGGACGUAAUAGACAACUCAGUGAGUAUAGCAGGUUUUCCUGACUCGGCCUUCGCCCUGGCGGCCAAGCUUUUGGAGCCGCUGCCCAGCGAGCGCUACUCCGCCCAGCGCGCCCUGGAGCACCCCUUCCUGGCCGCGCCGGGAGCACCCAGCGCGGUCACUAACGAAUAGCAUGAGCUAGCGAGCAAACUCAAUGUAAGUUGUGUCCGCAGACUUACUUGUACGAUCUUACGCACACUUUAUUUCAUGUUAUACUUAACUUACGGCCUUUUGAAAAGUCGUAUUUUUUUUUUUCCAAAUACCAUAUACUUUCUGCCCUGCUCCCUUGUAACUUUCUUCCUUUUAAUAUUCGUAAUUUAGGAGUUGAGCAUUGUUGUUCAUAACUACAUAAUUUUUGUCAUAGAUACAAGUAUCUAUUACAACAAUGAGUUUAUGGGAGCAGUUGGCUUCGUGAGAAUAUCUUGAGAAUCUAUUUUUUACUACCUUAUUUAUGAAAUGACAGACUAAAUAAGUAUUAUUUAUAUCUACAUGUAUGGGAAUCGGUGCAGCUUUUGUGGUGUGACUACGAAAAUGAGAAUGUCUUUAAUUUAGUGUGGAGGAUGCCUGUCUGCUGUAUGCUCAAUAGUUCACUGUGACAUGGUGCUACUGUGCCACAACCACUCAUGGAUCACAACACAUCCACUUUACUUAUUUGUGGUUUGUGUAAAUACAGCAUUCCCAAAGCAGUGAACUACACAGUCAAGUGCAAAUACGACUUUUCAGGGCAUAGCUCAUGUUGGACACUGGGUAUUGGUGUUUAUAUAAUACAAAAAUAUUCCAAAUGCCUCACUGAUAAGUUUGUACAGGAGGCCUUGUUGCAUUGUAACUUUUAAUUUCAUUUUGUAUGAAAUGUAGCUAUUUUGUUGUAGUUAUUGUUAUUAACAGUUAUUUAGUCAGUAAACUGGAUCUCAGAGCUUAAUAUAAGUUUAUAGUACAAAAUGGGUGGUCACAUUGUGAGGAUCACUGCCUGUCUCUGUGCCUUAGUGUGUGUUCACUAGACCUAGACAAUUGUUACCUCGUUGUUUCUAUUCUCUUGAAUAAAUGUUGCUUCCAAAAAA